rnacentral:tRNA from 1 species
AGAAAAGUAAUUUAACUAAAAUGUAAGGUUUCAAACUUUAAUAUGCAUAUAGCGUUGCCUUUUCUG